UACGGAGGGUGCAAGCGUUGUCCGGAUUUAUUGGGUUUAAAGGGUGCGUAGGCGGCCCGUUAAGUCAGUGGUGAAAGCCUCCAGCUCAACUGGAGAACUGCCAUUGAUACUGACGGGCUUGAGUACAGACGAGGUUGGCGGAAUUGAUUGUGUAGCGGUGAAAUGCAUAGAUACAAUCAAGAACUCCGAUUGUGUAGGCAGCUAACUAGGCUGUAACUGACGCUGAGGCACGAAAGCGUGGGGAGCGAACAGG
rnacentral:rRNA from 1 species